AGAGUUUGAUCAUGGCUCAGAACGAACGCUGGCGGCGUGGUUCAGGCAUGCAAGUCGAACGGUCCCGCAAGGGACAGUGGCAGAAGGGUUAGUAACACGUGGGUAAUCUACCCUGGACUCGGGGAUAACAUCUCGAAAGAGAUGCUAAUACCCGAUGACAUUUCCGGGUCGCAGGAUUUGGAAAUCAAAGGUGGCUCGCAAGGGCUGCCGAUCGAGGAGGAGCCCGCGGCCUAUCAGCUAGUUGGUGAGGUAACGGCCCACCAAGGCUUUUGACGGGUAGCUGGUCUAAGAGGACGAUCAGCUACAUUGGGACUGAGACACUGCCCAGACUCCUACGGGAGGCUGCAGUCGAGGAUCUUUAGCAAUGCCCGAAAGGGUGACUAUGCGACGCCGCGUGCAGGAUGAAGGCCUUCGGGUUGUAAACUGCUGUCAGGGGGGAAGAAACCUUACGUGUUAACAGCGCGUAAGCUGACAUCACCCCCAAAGAGCC
rnacentral:rRNA from 1 species